GCCCCUUCGGGGACAUCCGAUAAAAUUGGAACGAUACAGAGAAGGAUGACACGCAUAAAUCGAGAAAUGGUCCAAAUUUUU
rnacentral:snRNA from 1 species